rnacentral:rRNA from 1 species
CGGAACGUGCCCAGUAGCGGGGGAUAACUACGCGAAAGCGUAGCUAAUACCGCAUACGCCCUACGGGGGAAAGGGGGGGAUCGUAAGACCUCUCACUAUUGGAGCGGCCGAUAUCGGAUUAGCUAGUUGGUGAGGUAAAGGCUCACCAAGGCGACGAUCCGUAGCUGGUUUGAGAGGACGACCAGCCACACUGGGACUGAGACACGGCCCAGACUCCUACGGGAGGCAGCAGUGGGGAAUUUUGGACAAUGGGGGAAACCCUGAUCCAGCCAUUCCGCGUGUGCGAUGAAGGCCUUCGGGUUGUAAAGCACUUUUGGCGGGAAAGAAAUCGGUCGGGCUAAUACCCUGACCGGAUGACGGUACCCGCAGAAUAAGCACCGGCUAACUACGUGCCAGCAGCCGCGGUAAUACGUAGGGUGCAAGCGUUAAUCGGAAUUACUGGGCGUAAAGCGUGCGCAGGCGGUUCGGAAAGAAAGAUGUGAAAUCCCAGGGCUCAACCUUGGAACUGCAUUUUAACUACCGGGCUAGAGUGUGUCAGAGGGAGGUGGAAUUCCGCGU